rnacentral:rRNA from 1 species
UUAUUUUUUCCUUUUUACCGUACGCAGUUCAUGCAGUCGAGCGGACAGAUGGGAGCCGGCACCCUGAUGUUAGCGGCGGACGGGGAGACGCGUGGGUAACCUGCCUGUAAGACUGGGAUAACUCCGGGAAACAAGGGGCUAAUACCGGAUGGUUGUUUGAACCGCAUGGUUCAGACAUAAAAGGUGGCUUCGGCUACCACUUACAGAUGGACCCGCGGCGCAUUAGCUAGUUGGUGAGGUAACGGCUCACCAAGGCAACGAUGCGUAGCCGACCUGAGAGGGUGAUCGGCCACACUUGGACUGAGACACGGCCCAGACUCCUACGGGAGGCAGCAGUAGGGAAUCUUCCGCAAUGGACGAAAGUCUGACGGAACAACGCCGCGUGAGUGAUGAAUGUUUUCUGAUUUUUAAGCUCUGUUGUUAGGGAAGAACAAGUGCCUUUUUAAUAGGGCGGCACCUUGCCGGUACCUAACUUGAAAUCCACGGCUAAUUACGUUUCAACAUCCGCUGUAUUUCGUAUGUGGCAAGCUUUGUUCCGGAAUUAUUGGGCGUCAAAAGGCUCUUAAGCGGUUUCUUAAUUUCUGAUGUUAAAGCUUUCGGCUCAACCCGGGAGGGUAUUGAAAUUGGGGAACUUUU